rnacentral:rRNA from 1 species
AUUGAACGCUGGCGGCAGGCCUAACACAUGCAAGUCGAACGAGUGGCGGACGGGUGAGUAAUGUCUGGGAAACUGCCUGAUGGAGGGGGAUAACUACUGGAAACGGUAGCUAAUACCGCAUACCAUCAGAUGUGCCCAGAUGGGAUUAGCUAGUUGGUGGGGUAACGGCUCACCAAGGGGACGAUCCCUAGCUGGUCUGAGAGGAUGACCAGCCACACUGGAACUGAGAAACGGCCCAGACUCCUCCGGGAGGAAGGAGUGGGGAAUAUUGGCCAAUGGGGGCAAGCCUGCUGCAGCAAGGCGGGGUGGAUGAAGCAGCCCUUCGGGUUUUAAAGUACUUUCAGCGGGGAGGCGGUACCCGCAGAAGAAGCACCGGCUAACUCCGUGCCAGCAGCCGCGGUAAUAC